GACGAACGCUGGCGGCGUGCCUAAUACAUGCAAGUAGAACGCUGAAGGAGGAGCUUGCUUCUCUGGAUGAGUUGCGAACGGGUGAGUAACGCGUAGGUAACCUGCCUGGUAGCGGGGGAUAACUAUUGGAAACGAUAGCUAAUACCGCAUAAGAGUAGAUGUUGCAUGACAUUUGCUUAAAAGGUGCAAUUGCAUCACUACCAGAUGGACCUGCGUUGUAUUAGCUAGUUGGUGAGGUAACGGCUCACCAAGGCAACGAUACAUAGCCGACCUGAGAGGGGGAUCGGCCACACUGGGACUGAGACACGGCCCAGACUCCUACGGGAGGCAGCAGUAGGGAAUCUUCGGCAAUGGACGGAAGUCUGACCGAGCAACGCCGCGUGAGUGAAGAAGGUUUUCGGAUCGUAAAGCUCUGUUGUAAGAGAAGAACGAGUGUGAGAGUGGAAAGUUCACACUGUGACGGUAACUUACCAGAAAGGGACGGCUAACUACGUG
rnacentral:rRNA from 1 species